CGGAGGUGGGCGGGACGGGUGAGUAAUGUCGGGGAAACUGCCCGAUGGAGGGGGAUAACUACUGGAAACGGUAGCUAAUACCGCAUAACGUCGCAAGACCAAAGAGGGGGACCUUCGGGCCUCUUGCCAUCGGAUGUGCCCAGAUGGGAUUAGCUAGUAGGUGGGGUAACGGCUCACCUAGGCGACGAUCCCUAGCUGGUCUGAGAGGAUGACCAGCCACACUGGAACUGAGACACGGUCCAG
rnacentral:rRNA from 1 species